GGAGUCUGGGCCGUAUCUCAGUCCCAAUGUGGCCGUUCAACCUCUCAGUCCGGCUACUGAUCGCAGCCUUGGUAGGCCGUUACCCCACCAACUAGCUAAUCAGACGUGAGCCCAUCCUUCAGCGAUAAAAUCUUUGGUCAUCAGAAGAUGCCUCCCGAUGACAUCAUGCGGUAUUAGCAGUCGUUUCCAACUGUUGUCCCCCUCUGAAGGGCAGGUUGCUCACGCAUUACUCACCCGUCCGCCACUAAGUCAAGUCCCUCUUCGACGAAUCUCCAAGGAAAAUGCUUCGUUCGACUUGCAUGUGUUAGGCACGCCGCCAGCGUCGUCCUCGAGCCACUGAUCAAACUACU
rnacentral:rRNA from 1 species